UCCAGCUGCACCAAAACCAAAACCACUACUCUGUGCCUGCUGCUGAGGCCAUGCCAUGGCUGCAUGAAACUCAUCCAUUGUCCACCUGUGCACUGGUGACUGGUCAUAUAGCCCAAUAAUCAUCUCAGCAGUCGCAACCUGCCCUCUGUGAAGGGCCUCCAUCCUUGCUUCCAUCAUGGACAUGUACAUGUCCCUCAUCUGGAAGGGCUCCGCAUGCUGGACUGGUACCUCAGCAAGCUCCUACUCCUGCU
rnacentral:lncRNA from 1 species